rnacentral:rRNA from 1 species
CACGUAGGGUGCGAGCGUUGUCCGGAAUUAUUGGGCGUAAAGAGCUCGUAGGCGGUCUGUCACGUCGGCUGUGAAAACCCGGGGCUCAACCCCGGGCCUGCAGUCGAUACGGGCAGACUAGAGUGCGGUAGGGGAGACUGGAAUUCCUGGUGUAGCGGUGAAAUGCGCAGAUAUCAGGAGGAACACCGGUGGCGAAGGCGGGUCUCUGGGGCAACAACUGACGCUGAGGAGCGAAAGCGUGGGGAGCGAACAGG